GAUGAACGCUGGCGGCGUGCCUAGUACAUGCAAGUCGAGCGAAUGGAUUAAGAGCUUGCUCUUAUGAAGUUAGCGGCGGACGGGUGAGUAACACGUGGGUAACCUGCCCAUAAGACUGAGAUAACUCCGGGAAACCGGGGAUAAUACCGGAUAACAUUUUGAACCGCAUGGUUCGAAAUUGAAAGGCGGCUUCGGCUGUCACUUAUGGAUGGACCCGCGUCGCAGUUGCUAGUUGGGGAGGUAACGGCUCACCAAGGCAACGAUGCGUAGCCGACCUGAGAGGGUGAGCGGUCGCACUGGGACUGAGACACGGCCCAGACUCCCGCCGGAGGGAGGGAGAGGGAAUCUUCCGCAAUGGACGAAAGUCGGACGGAGCAACGCCCCGUGGGUAACGGAGGCUUUCGGGUCGUAGAACACUGUUGUUAGGGAAGAACAAGUUCUAGUUGAAUUAGCUGGCACCUUGACGGUACCUACCCAGAAAGCCACGGCUAACUACGUGCCAGCCGCCGCAGUAA
rnacentral:rRNA from 1 species